rnacentral:rRNA from 1 species
GACGAACGCCGGCGGCAUGCCUAACACAUGCAAGUCGAACGAGAUCUUCGGGUCUAGUGGCGCACGGGUGCGUAACGCGUGGGAAUCUGCCCUUUGGUUCGGAAUAACAGUUGGAAACGACUGCUAAUACCGGAUGAUGACGAAAGUCCAAAGAUUUAUCGCCAGAGGAUGAGCCCGCGUAGGGUUAGCUAGUUGGUGUGGUAAAGGCGCACCAAGGCGACGAUCCUUAGCUGGUCUGAGAGGAUGAUCAGCCACACUGGGACUGAGACACGGCCCAGACUCCUACGGGAGGCAGCAGUGGGGAAUAUUGGACAAUGGGCGAAAGCCUGAUCCAGCAAUGCCGCGUGAGUGAUGAAGGCCUUAGGGUUGUAAAGCUCUUUUACCCGGGAUGAUAAUGACAGUACCGGGAGAAUAAGCUCCGGCUAACUCCGUGCCAGCCGCCGCCGUAA